rnacentral:lncRNA from 1 species
GCGACUUCCCUGGCCCUCCCCCUGCGGACCAGUGAACCUCGCCCGAGGGCUCAAUAAAGAAGAUUUUUGCCCUCUUUUUCUCACCUCUCAGCCUUAUUGAUCCAUGGUGCCCUUCCAUUGCCUUUCAUUGGUGCCGAAACCCGGGAGGGGACACCUCCUAAGCCCCCCCAGAGGCUCAGGGGGACUCCCCUCCUGGUCGGAUCAGUCCUCUCCCUCAGUCAGGUCAGGCUUCUCCUCCACGGCCAUCUGUCCAUUUCGUCCGGUUACUUGCUGCCAGGUCGCAGUUGCUGCAGCUACUCCAGUCCAAUUCGGCCGACGCUAGAUCAACUGAGAUGCAAAACCCAUGUUCACAUCAUGAGUGAGUCUUCUAACUCGGACAAUGCAAUCAACAAAUUCUAAGACCAAAUUCCGGUGGCACUGGCUCCAAAGGCAUCAUGCCAGCAGGGACCAGAUGUGCACCUAAUCAAGAGAUGGCAUCCAAUCAGAUGGGGGUGUGACCCUUUACUAUCGUCCUCACCACAGGACUCAUGGUCUAUCAAAGAGCAAGACCUCACCAGCUCAACACAGCCACCUCCAUACACAUCUUACUGUCACUUGUGAUCAGCACCAAAGGAAGUGUCCACCUGAAGGACUCUCCCUUGAGGACUGUCAGGAUCCACCCAAGAGGUGCUCUUUGUCCACACCACGUUCCUUUUACUGGUUCGUUAUCCCAUUUUCUGUUGAUGUUAAAUGUCACUCUGUUUGAUGUGAAAACUCUCAUCUAUAACAUUUAUAGAUUGAUUAAGUAUACUAUCAUGCAUGGUUUGCAAUGUUGACUGGCCUGUGCAGUGGCUUGAGCCUGCAUGCCACAGUGGCUCUGACUCCUGAGUGCAUGGGAGGCCUAAAGACAACUGCCUCCUCAGGAACCCCACAGAGCCCGUGGUUUUUAUUAUUGAAAUAGCAUUGGUAAAGUCUGACCCUGUGGAGAGAGACAAACGUGUGUGGAUUUGGCUAUGCCUGGCCUUGUGCUGCUCACGACAUAACUUACCCACCAUUUUCAGCACUUUCUUUGUUCUACUUUGAGUUACAAAUAGAGACACAUAAAUAAAUAUGAUCUGUCCUUUUUUUCUCAA